UACGAAGGGGGCUAGCGUUGUUCGGAAUUACUGGGCGUAAAGCGCACGUAGGCGGAUAUUUAAGUUAGGGGUGAAAUCCCAGGGCUCAACCCUGGAACUGCCUUUAAUACUGGGUAUCUCGAGUCCGAGAGAGGUGAGUGGAAUUCCGAGUGUAGAGGUGAAAUUCGUAGAUAUUCGGAAGAACACCAGUGGCGAAGGCGGCUCACUGGACCGGCAUUGACGCUGAGGUGCGAAAGCGUGGGGAGCAAACAGG
rnacentral:rRNA from 1 species